UUGCNCUUCGUCUAGUGGCCUAGGACACCGCCCUUUCACGGCGGUAACAGGGGUUCGAGUCCCCUAGGGGACGCCA
rnacentral:tRNA from 1 species